UCCACGAACAAAAAACCUUUAUAAAUUCCAUAAACUCUUUCAAAUUUUAAAAUCAUCAUAAUGUUAAAUUCCUAAAAGAAUGUCAAAAGACAGUUGCAUCCUCGGCUUCAUGCCUGCAAAUAUAUCAAAAGGUCUCCGACGAUGAAUAUUUAGAUCUGACAAUAGAUCGGAUGGUGUGAAGCAGCAAGGGCGACGAGGUUAAUCGUGAAUCUUGAUGGUGGUGAAUCGUGAAUCAUCGGAGCCGGCAAAUCCGUUUUUCCGAUGGUAUCCUCCGUGGAGGGCGAUGCUUGUGGUGGUGUGAAGCAACAGGGGCGACAGAGGCUAGUGUGGUGGUUAUCGGCGGUGGUGGUGGCCUGCCCGGUGGUGGAGGUGUUCGUUCGUGGUGGUGGGUUUCAAUGUUGGUGGAUGUUUUGGUGUUCGGGGAUGGAGGUGAGAAGUGGCGGAGGUGAGACGGUGGUGGUGGGUGAUCGGCGAUGGAGGUGAGAUGGUGGGACCAACCAGGCAUUUAACCAGAGGGACCAACCAGGCAUUUAACUCUUUUUUUAGUUUAAUAUUUUUAACGAACACGCCGACACUCUUUUGAACAUAAUUUUUAACUUUUUUUCUUUGCUAUAACGAGGGUGCCAAAACUGACCAAAUUUCUAUUGUUUUCUUUUUCGUUUACCUUAAUUUUACCUUUGUUAUUUAUUAUAUCGUUUUAUCUUUUGUUAUUACUUUGAUGUUCAGAGCCGAGUUACGGCGUAAAUAACAUAACCCAUUAAUAUAUCAUUUUAAUUAAUUGUAUAAAUUUAUUUAUCGGUUGUCAUGAUGUGCAAUACGUUCUGAAAUCCAACCGUAUCCCUAUGCAAUGCACGGGUAACUACGACCCUAGUUUACUCUACAUCACAACGCUUAUAAACCAACAGUUUCAAUGAAUCCUUUAAUAUUAAGAAGAUAGUACAUGGUUAACAAUUUAUUGAGAAGAUAUUACAUGGUUAACAAUUUAAUUUAGUACAUAGACACAUAAAGGGAUUCAGGCAUUGUGCCAUACCAUUUGGAUUCCAUUCCUGGCACUUUGCAUAACAGCUUUUAACGUUGCACUGAAAAACUGUAAUUUUUUUCGUGCAAAGUUUAUUUUUAUCACCUGGUGCGUCAUCUCCUGCCCUCAUAAAAAAGUUAAAUAAAUGAGUAAAUUAUCAUUUUAGUCCCUAAGGUUUGUUCAAAUUUUUCAUUUUAGUUCAAAUAGUUUUUUUUUCUCCUCUGAGUCCCUGACUUUUCUUUUUUGUUGUCAUUUUGAUCACAUUGCAUAACUUAGUCUAAAAACCUGUUAUGACCAGCGGUAUUUUUGUCAUUAACAAAAAAGAAAGAUUUCUAUAUUGCCAUUUUUGUCCAAAACUAUUUUUAUAUAUAUUUUCUAAAUUCCACUUUUAUACAGAAGAUCACACAUACAUCAUACAGUUACUCCUAUACCCAGCAACGCCAUCAAGCACUGCCAUCAACCACUCGUCGCCAUUGUUACACAUGCAUCCCCAACAUCAUCCACCGCCCCCUUCACCUCCACCUCUACCAACCGCCCCCAUCACCUCUACCAACCGCCGCCAUCACCGCCUCUCACCACCACCACUACCGCCACAAUCCCCCAACACCAACAUCCCCACCUUGAACCCUUUAAUACAAAGUCCCUCCUUCAAAAAAUGUCACCAACAUCCCCACCGUUGACAGCCGACGGCUUUAGCCGGAAUAAUAUACGAAAUCCAAACUUUUUAAACUCAAAAUUUCGCACAGUAAGGGUAUCACACAAAAAAACUGUGAUGGGGCUUUUGAUCCCCGAUAGAAACUGAAUAGAAAGGUGCAUACGAAAACUUACGGGUUGCAUAUUACGUGGUUUCCGGCGAAGACGAGCUCCGGCGACGGUGCAGCUUGAUGAAGAAAAUGAAACAGAGAAGUUGGAGUGAAACAGAGAACACCGGUUUCCGGCGAAGACGUACUCCGGCGACGGUGGAUGGAGGUGGUGGUUGAUUACAGUGAUGGAGAUGGUGGCGGCGGCGUCGGCUGGUGGUUCAUCUUAUGGAUUAGCCUGACCAAGUUUUGCACUGAAGGUAUUUGAUGAAUUGUCUCUGAAAGUUUGUUAUGCAAGACAAGUGUUUCUUUCGCAUUCAAGCUUUACACUGAAGGUGUUUCAUGAUUUGUCUUUGAGAGUGUGUCUUAUUUGAGAGAGAGAUAAGGAAGAGAGAGUAAUUAGAUUAUGCAUUAAAGACUUGUUCUUUAUACUUUUGUGUAUGUAAGACAUGUACUUUGUGUGUAAAUGAUUAAAAUGCCCUUAUACUUAAUGGAAUUUGUGAAUGGUGUUAAAAA